CGGGACGUGGCUCAGUUCGGUAGAGCACUCGGCUGGGGGUCGAGGGGUCGCAGGUUCAAAUCCUGUCGUCCCGACUA
rnacentral:tRNA from 1 species